UGUGUCAGCUCUAUGUUAGGAUGUGUGUUGUACGGUUAUGUCAACUGUAUGUUAGGAUUUUGACAGUUCAGCUACAAGAACAAUGACAGGUCGGCUUCGUAUAUACUCCCUUCGUUUCAAAAUAGGAGUAUGAAGUGCACUAAAUAGAAUAUAUACUACUGUUACUCCGCAUUAAAAGAUUCUGGUAGAUAAGCCUGAUCUGGACGAUGUACUAGUAACUCGUCUGUACAUUGGGUUAUUUUCUUCGGUGAAUCUGCUGUUGUCUGUUGUUUCGCUAGCUUUUCCCAUCGCUGCUACAUCACAUGGAAGCUAUGAAGAAAAAAUGGAUAAAAGAGAGGUGAUGUUGUGGUUAGAAAAUGCAACGGGCGAGUACGAGAGAAAACAUGUGGUGGAAAACACACGACAUUCACAGCUAUAUAAAAAAUGGCCAAAAAUGGUUACCUUUCACAAACAUGGACUACCGUCAUUUAUAGGUAGCUGUAUAAGUGCAGGUUUAACACGUACAUUGUGUAGGCUCCAUAUCGACUGCGGGCUUUUGGUGGCCGCGCUACAGGCAGGCCGGUAUCCUGUGCUUCUGCUUGGGCCUGGGGAUUCGGAACCCGUCAAUUCGUGGCAGUGCUGUGGCAGGCCUAGUGAAGAGAAUACGGUCCGUGAUACGCCUAUCUGCCGCACAGGCGUAUUCUGUUCCACCCAUUUCUUUUACCUGUUCGCACACCUAGAAAAGACGACGUGUCCUGCACCAGAAAGGCUGGCCCAUGUCCGUGACCUUAUCCCUAACUCGUGAACAAGCCGUCGCCGCACACCUGCUCUGCCCCUCCGUCUCUCUCUCUCUCUCUCAAAUCCGACGGCGGCACUGGUUUCUCUCCGGUGAGCAUCUCCCUGGCCCCUUGGCCCUACCCACGUACCCGGUGGUCAUGGGCAAUUCGUCUCCACACGCCGGCUCUGCCGUUGGGUCUCUUUUCCCCCAACCUUGACGGCGCCAGGGUUUGUUCUCCGGCGAGAUGUGCUCCUUUGGUGUUGAGGUGCCAUGGGAUCCAUGUUUGGGACGUCAGAGCCGAUUCCUGAUGUAUUCCCGUGGAGUCGCGGGAUUUCAUGAGCAUCGCCGAUACCCAGCUGGGCCGCGGCAGCGAGGGCACACAUCUGUGCGGGGACGCCUGCUUAGGUUUGCUCAGAAGCCACCAGCGGCUGGACCAUUAGCGGCUGUCCCCCGUGGAUGAGUUUGCCGAAGCGCGGCAAGGUGGACCAUACAUGUAAUGAAGGGCCCCAAAUCUUCCGGUCGGAUGGAGUCAGGGGCUUCUCUUAGUAUCAUCGAAGCUGAAAUUUGCAACGCUGCUGAGCUUGGAAGCGGUGGGCAAAGUGGUGGAUUCCCCCCUGAAGCCGGUGUGUUCCAAGUUUGCGCUGAAGCUACUAGUGGAUGGACCAUGUAUUUUUGUCAAAUUAACGAUGUCUCUGUCCUAUUGACAACUGUUGCUGUUUCAUAUGAUACUCUCUUGACAGCAGGAACCUGAUUCAUGUAUGAUUUUGAAAUGGUCAAUCCUUUUCUGGUCUGCACAUUUGUUGGAAUUUUAUGGAGCCAACUCUGUUGUAGGUUUCAUCUAAUAAUCCAAACUAAUAAUUAUGAUCUUGUUGAAACAUGUUUGGUGAUUAGUACACUUCAGAAAUCUUGAAAAGAGUAUUUAUGCUAUUAUUGCUGACCACAAUUUAUUUUACUUUUUGAUAAUCAUGAUUGAAAGAGCCUGAGUUAUUUUUGUAUUACAUUUUGUUCUCUAGUGCGCAAGCUGCUUGUUUCAUUGUUGAGUAGAUGACAUUGGCUUGAUAGAAACCACAUUAAUCUAAAUAUUUUGAUAUUCACCAUGUGCUUUUCUUUGUUGGCAGCACGAAUGAUGCAAUAAUUGAAGAUAUGAAGAAGGCUUACAUGGACGCGCAAGAGAUCGAGGAGUAGAACAAAUAAGCUUUAUGCAAUGGAUAAUUUGCAAGGCAAGGUUCUCCAUGCCUGUAUGUACGUUGCUGCUUUUGGAAUUUGGCAGUUGCUUACUGGUAAUGUUUCAUGAUUGAUGCUGAAUUCCUAGAUGCAUUUUGUAAACAUUUGGAUUUGUCCAGGGGCAUGCCUGUAUGUACUAGAUGUUUACUUGUUUUCACUUAUCUGCAGAAGUGGUAUGUUUCCUAUGAGAUUAAAUUAACUAGGUCCUAAUUAUGUAUUAUGUGAAAUGGUAUAUAUUAAUGGAUGUGUAUUUUCUGGUUACCA